UGUCCGAAAAAUGUAUGCCAUCUUUCCAGUACAAUUUGUAGUGAGGUUUUCCUUGCCUGAAUAUGUUUUAUUGGAAUCACUGUACCACCAUAUAUUUCACACACAGCACGAAUGAUUUCAAUUACCGCAUUGAUGUCCGUAUCACGCCUUGCUGGAACUUCUGAAAUGUACACACGAAAUCAGGAUUUCUGUUUCGGAGAGAAGUACGAAGUCAUGUUCAAUUUGCUGUGGAUCUCGUUGUCUGGGUGCAUCAUUUCCUCCUGUCAAGAUGAUGAUGCUCCGAAAUGAUGAUACAUCCAUUUUGUGUGUGAUUUUGGAUUAUCCAUUGUCUAUUUACCAUGCUUAUGUGGUGCUGUUCCAUUGUCACCUGCGUAUGGUGUUGUGUCUCUCAUUUGAUUCGGUACACAAGACCUUGUUCUGCGUAUAGGCAGUUUAUGAAUCUGAGAAAACUGUUGACAAACGGAUUGGUGUUGCGUUGGGUUCGACGGAUUCAUUUAGGGUGCUUCACAAUACUUCUGUGCAGUUCAACAAAAUACAGCGCCUCAUUUACAGAGACUCAUAUUUAAACAAUUUCCAAGAUAUUGAUGAAGAUUUUACAUGUGUGGCAACAUCUAUUUUGCAUCAGCAUGAUCUGCCUUUGCCUGACACCUUGAGAGACUGGACCUCUGCUCAUCAUCUCUACAUAUAUCUGAGGGAGUGCAUGAUGCAUUUGAUGAUUCUUUAACAUCAUGAGAUGUUGUAGAAUAUACAUUUGUUUCCAUGACUUUGUACACUUGCUUUUAUUGCCAGCUGAUUUCUGUUCCAUAGUUUUAUGUAUUUAACUAAUCAGAUACAUUUUCAUGUAUUCACAUGUUCUGGGGGUGUUUUUUUUUAUCCUUGAAAUAUUUUAAAUGUGGAGCUUUACAGAAUUUCAUUUGGUAUGAAUGCUAAAGGCUAUUCAUGAACAGAAUUUGUUCUUUGAACUCUCCCAUCCCACUCCACCAUCCCCUACAAAAACACCCAUGAAUUUUGUGUAAGCCAUACCUUUGUACUGUUAAACUUGCUAACCACAGGAGAAGUUUACAGAAUUUUUUUUAUUUACUAUGCAUUUAUAUAUUCAAAAUGUUUAGCACCUUCUGAUAUGUAUUAUUAAUGUCAGAUAUGUAUGAUUGUGUAAUAAAUUAUAUACAUGUA